CUUUUUUACGCAUAGUAGACCACCUCUAUACAUUUUACUGUUCCUAUUGAAUUAGAAACAGGUAUAGAAAAACAUGUUAUAUAGUUUAUAGGUUCAUAUUUAAUAAAAAGCACUACUAAACGCCAAUAAAAAAACCGUUAUAUGGUAGUGCUAUUUAUGCUGUUAAAAUAUUGUAUCUUACUUCCAAAUGGCGGUUUGUUGGAGGUCAAAGUCGCCAUGAAGUAUAUCACAUACAAU
rfam:Peptoniphilus sp. oral taxon 375 str. F0436 noncontiguous_finished_chromosome, whole genome shotgun sequence.